rnacentral:rRNA from 1 species
CCUACGGGUGGCUGCAGUGAGGAAUAUUGGUCAAGGGACGAGAGUCUGAACCAGCCAAGUAGCGUGAAGGAUGACUGCCCUAUGGGUUGUAAACUUCUUUUAUAUGGGAAUAAAAUGUUCCACGUGUGGGAUUUUGUAUGUACCAUAUGAAUAAGGAUCGGCUAACUCCGUGCCAGCAGCCGCGGUAAUACGGAGGAUCCGAGCGUUAUCCGGAUUUAUUGGGUUUAAAGGGUGCGUCGGCGGUGAGGUAAGUCAGCGGUGAAAUGCCCCCGCUCCACGGGGUGAAGUGCCAUUGAUACUGCCUUGCUUGACUGCGGCUGCCGUGGGCGGAAUGUGUGGUGUAGCGGU